GACGAACGCUGGCGGCGUGCCUAAUACAUGCAAGUUGAGCGCUGAAGGUUGGUACUUGUACCAACUGGAUGAGCAGCGAACGGGUGAGUAACGCGUGGGGAAUCUGCCUUUGAGCGGGGGACAACAUUUGGAAACGAAUGCUAAUACCGCAUAAAAACUUUAAACACAAGUUUUAAGUUUGAAAGAUGCAAUUGCAUCACUCAAAGAUGAUCCCGCGUUUUAUUAGCUAGUUGGUGAGGUAAAGGCUCACCAAGGCGAUGAUACAUGGCCGACCUGAGAGGGUGAUCGGCCACAUUGGGACUGAGACACGGCCCAAACUCCUACGGGAGGCAGCAGUAGGGAAUCUUCGGCAAUGGACGAAAGUCUGACCGAGCAACGCCGCGUGAGUGAAGAAGGUUUUCGGAUCGUAAAACUCUGUUGGUAGAGAAGAACGUUGGUGAGAGUGGAAAGCUCAUCAAGUGACGGUAACUACCCAGAAAGGGACGGCUAACUACGUG
rnacentral:rRNA from 1 species